rnacentral:rRNA from 1 species
GACGUAGGAGGCGAGCGUUGUCCGGAUUUACUGGGCGUAAAGGGCGUGUAGGCGGCACGGCAAGUUGGAUGUGAAAGCCCCCGGCUUAACUGGGGAGGGUCAUUCAAUACUGUCGAGCUAGAGGCCGGUAGGGGGAGAUGGAAUUCCCGGUGUAGUGGUGAAAUGCGUAGAUAUCGGGAGGAACACCGAUGGCGAAAGCGAUCUCCUAGGCCGGUCCUGACGCUGAGGCGCGAAAGCGCGGGGAGCGAACCGG